rnacentral:lncRNA from 1 species
CGAAUGUAUUACCACAUCGUCAAGAUAAGCAGUACAAUUUGGUACAUCGGCAAAAACAAUGUUAACUAACCGCUGAAAAGUAGCAGGUGCAUUACACAUUCCAAAGGGCAUCACAGAAUAUUGUACGAAGUUAUCUGGCGUAACGAAAGCCGAAAUGUCAGAAGCUCGAGAGGUCAAAGGCACCUGCCAAUAACCUUUUAGCAAAUCUAAUUUACUAACGUAAGCAGCAGAGCCAAUUCUAUCAAUGCAGUCAUCUAAGCGAGGUAGAGGAAAAGAAUCAGACUUUGUAACGGCAUUUACUCGACGAUAGUCCGUACAUAAGCGAGACGUACCGUCAGGCUUAGGAACAAGAAUACACGGGGAACUCCAGGAGCUGUUACUGGGUUUUGCCAUGUCAUUCUGUAAUAAAUAAGCUACCUCACUUUUCAUUACCUCCCUUUUCUUUGCAUUAACCCGGUACGGAUGCUGACUUAUAGGAACAGCGUCCCCCACAUCCACGUCAUGUUCCAAGAUGGACGUGCGACUUGGAACAUCCUGAAACACAAUACCAGCCAGGCUUCAGCACCACCGCAGCCACACUGGAAACGGCGGGCUGGACCGGCUUUCUUGAGGAGCUGUUGGGAGAAUCACGCAUAUAAUAUGCUUUCAGCAUGUUAACAUGACACAUUCGGGAAGAACGCCUCCGAUCUGGGGUCUUUAUCACAUAAUUGGUGUCACUGAGUUUCUUUUCCACAAGAUAUGGUCCAGAAAAACGUGCUGACAGAGAUGAGCCAGGGAUUGGCAACAAAACUAAAACUUGAU